UCCACAAAUAGAGAGGAAAUAUGUUUUGGUUAAAACUUUACCUAGUUCUUGGGAGGGGCAAGAUAGGGGUAGGGGAUUAAGGAACACAGCCUGCUAUGUAAACAGAAAGAGGCUACAAGAAAAUACUGUGCAACGCAGGGAAUAUAGAAAAUUUUUUUAUUUUAUACAUUGGGUCUUCGUUGCUAUGCACGGGCUUUUCUCUAGUUGCGGAGAGCAGGGGCUACUCUUCAUUGCGUGCGAUAAAGGAGGCAGUGUUGUCCAGGUUUGGCAGAUGAGGAGGUGGAGGCUCCGGGACUCCCCCGGGGUUACAGAACUAGCCCAGGGAGGCAGCCUUCUUGUUUCAGAGCACGUGCACGUUCCACAUCUGAAGUUCCACGGCGCCACUGGGUGGAAGUGAGUGUUCAGAACCGUGCAGGAUGGAGGAAUGGGCUGUGUGUCUGUGGUUGGACACAGACCACUCAGGACUGGCCCUGGGGGGACUUGCUGGGCUUGGAGAAGCCACAUCUGGGAGCGCGGGACUCACAUGAAGAGGCUGCCUCCUCCCCCGCUGGGGGCUCCAGACCAGAGCCUUGAGGAGACGGGGGUGCCCAGCUGUUUACUCUCACACACAAACCCCUGUGCUCUGCUCAUGGUAACCAGGAGGAUGCACACUCCCCCUUAUGCUCUCCGAGCAGCGAUUCUCCACGCCGGCCGCACAUUAGUCCACUGGGUCCCACACCACAAGGACAGUACUGGACAGGGGCAUGGCACCCGUCCUUUUUCAGUGCGCCUUCGAUGAUCCCAAUACACAGCCAAGGUUGAGAACCAGCGUCCUAAACUCCAGGUUUAUGUCAGAGACCCCCCAGAACCUGAUCCGUAGAGACCCCUUUGCAGGAGAGGGAUACUGGAGGGUCCUUACAGCCCUUUCCUACCACCAGUCCCGCGAGACCAUCACAGCUCUUACUCUGAGGGGACUGGGCCACAAGACAAAUAGGGGGCUGCUGUGUGGUCUGGAUUUUUUUGAAGACGGUCUGUCCCGAGGGCGCCCCUGUAUCAAAGGAUAGAGCACUGGCCAGCCUGUGGGGUGACACUGUGCGAGAGGGAGACUCUGGGCCUACCUGGACUUGCAGGGCACAGUCCGGCCUAGAACAUAGCGUUUGUCUCCUGGAACUCACCAGAAUCCAGCCUCAGGGAGGGCUGCCCCAGGCACAGGCGUCUGCCUUCCUGCUGGCUGUGGGAUUAGCGGGGACAGCCCCACUCACGUUGGUGCUUGCAAGACGGACUUAUUCUGAUUCAGAACUGCUGACACUUCACAUUUUGUAAUCCUAUGGUUUUUAUAUUACUCUUGCUAAUUCGUUUUCUCCUAAUAACCAACCCAUUCACCAAGAAGAAUCCCAGAGGUUCUUGCAACCUCGAUUCUGGGAACUAAGCCAAACAACCACUGAAACCAAAGCAGAGUCUUGAACUGCCUUCUCUCUUGCAUAGGCAGCCAAAGGGGCUCUUACCCCAUGCUUCCCUUGAGCUCCUGCUCCAUUCUCCUACCCCCCAUGUCUGCUUCCGUUGAGGCACAGGAAGAAGCGUUAAGUCCCAAGCUAUAGUUACUGACUUCAGCUUUGGCGCGCUGAGGAAGUCCAGUCUCCCGAUAGUGGAACCAAUUAGAAACACCCUUUGCCACACUGGUACCCUGAGCUGAACGUCAGAACUCCAGGGCUUGGAGUAGAUGGAUAGGAGGAGUGGGCCUCACGUGUGACAGCCAUGGAGACCUCACUCCCUGAUUCUCAGACGCUGUGCUAGAACUGGACACAAAAAACUGGGCUUGAUACCCUUCCUUCCGAUGGGGAGCACGGAGAAGCAGGCAAGCAAAAGGAGCUUAGAUAAGGACCAUGACAGGAACACAUAAAGGCCCCUGACCCCCUUGGGUGGUAGAAUGGAGGUGGGGCUGCCAUCAGAGUCCGUCCUGAAGAAGUGCCAGACUAACCAAGAACAGGUGGAAGGAGGCCCCAGGCAGACAGAGCAUGAAUGAAGCCGCAGAGUCCAGAGUGUGUGGGUCCUGUGGGUGAGGGGUGGAAGGUCACAAAAGCCAGGACCAAGGGCACCUUGGCUCUCCUGUGGUUCUGACUUACUGGUACUUGUAAGGCUGCACUCUGAUGUAAUUUUGUUGAAGUUUUAGGAACUCGGGAUAGGUGUGUAGCGAAAAUCAUUUUUUUAUUACUGGCUCAGAAAGAGAGGAUUUUUCUUUACUGUGCUAAUUCACAUCUGAGGAGCUGGGGAGAGCUACCAGGUCAAAUUUACAUUGGUACACAUUUCUCAACACCAGCCCUGCUAGAUAAUGUGUUUCAGUAAAUCUAAGAUAACAUUGAUUAGAAGACAUUACUUGAUAUAGCAUUAAGAAAGAGAAACGGACGCAAAUUAAUUUUAAGAUACCACUGAUCGAUCACAAGAUGAAUCCUGUUUGGCCUGUUAAAAUGUCUGAGGUCAAUGUAGAAGGCACACAGCUUCCUUUGCACGAGCCUCCUGGGUGCACAGACUGGUGUAGGCACAGCUUCGGGUGCCUUACUUAGGUGCACAGGCCGGCUCCUCCAAAACCAGCUUUUGUGCACUCACCACAGAGCAGGUACUAGUAGUGGGGAGUCGGGCUUAGAGAAGUUGAAUGACUCGCUCAAGGGCCGUGUAAUUAGCAGGGAGCAAGACCGAGUUCAGAACCCGGCCUCGAGUUCCGUAUGCUGAGGGAGCUACUUCCCACCUCCAGGGAGAGGGACAGGGGUCCUUGUGCCCAGUCUGAGACUCCCAGGCCCAUUUACUCCAAGAUCACUGACAUGGUUCCUGCUUUCACCAUAGUUCCUGACCCCCUUGGGAGCAGCCCAGCUACCCUUCUCUCUCUGAGAGGCUGUCACAUCACUAAGCUGGGCUCCAAGGACACUGCUGUCCAGUAGCCCCAUCGCAAGUUCUGUGACCUCUCAGACCCUAAGAUGUCUUCAGGUCUGAUGUAGGGGGGCCCUCUGGCUGUGGUGAACCCAGGAAUGGCGAGGGUAGACUGAUGCUUACUGUUCUGGGCUCCAGGGCACCAGCCAAGACCCGGGUAUCGUGGAAAUUUAAUUACAAGGGUGGCACUGACUUCAGGGUCUGAAGGUGAACCCCUCUCGCAGGUCAUGGAAUUCCACAUCAACCCCUAAAAACUGGUGAUGGGAACACCAUAACUGACUCUGGAAAAAUCACCUGCUCCACGGCAACCCUCUCCUGUUCCUGCACCUGAGCGAGGCAAUGGUCUGUGGACACUGCCCAGGCAGUUCCAGAAUUCCUCGGUUGCUUGACCGUGAGUCCCCCAAGGCAGUCCUGCCUGGGGCUGCCCGAGGGCAACCUCUUGCUCAAGGUCUGUUACAUUCAGUCUUCAGACUGGUCUGUUUUCAGCAGUUUAAAUACACUGGGCAAAUGUUUGAUGUGAUUUCGUAGUUUCUUAGGUCCUAGGGAAUAUAUGGAAUAACUUUCCUGAUUACUAAGCAGUUACUAAUCUAUCUUGGAUCCUGCAUCCUUUUGCAAAUCUGUUGAAAGCUAUGAACUCUUCCUCCCCUCUCCCUUCCAAAAAAAAGCACACACCUAAUUUUCAGGAACUGAGUGACUGAAGCUUAUCUUUGGACAAUGGACAGGCCCAAAGUAAAGAAUCCUUAGGAGCCACUGAGGUAGGGAGCCACUAAAGCUGGCUUCCCUGAUUCAGAUUUCAGGAAUAGCUUGAAUCGAUUUUUAAAGGAACUGGCUGAUAGUCAACAAUUGUGAGAGAGAUUUCCAGUGCCUGAACUUGGGGCCCAGGAAUAUCCUGGGUGAAAUUCCUACAUUGCUAGAGAGGCAACUGGGUAGUUUUCAUGGCUCUAGGGGGGAAAAGUAAGGAGAGGUAUUGGUAUUUCCAGGUGAACCAACAUCUUAAUAUUUGUGUUAUUUAAUGAUCCACGAAGAAAUGAAUUUGUAGUGCCUGGGGAUUAGACACUCUUUUUGAGUUUCAGAAGUGAAAAGGUUUAAAGUGAAUUUACCAGCAAAAGAUGAG